GACGAACGCUGGCGGCGUGCUUAACACAUGCAAGUCGAACGAAGAGCGACGGAAGCUUGCUUCUAUCAAUCUUAGUGGCGAACGGGUGAGUAACGCGUAAUCAACCUGCCCUUCAGAGGGGGACAACAGUUGGAAACGACUGCUAAUACCGCAUACGAUCUAAUCUCGGCAUCGAGGAUGGAUGAAAGGUGGCCUCUACAUGUAAGCUAUCACUGAAGGAGGGGAUUGCGUCUGAUUAGCUAGUUGGAGGGGUAACGGCCCACCAAGGCGAUGAUCAGUAGCCGGUCUGGGAGGAUGAACGGCCACAUUGGGACUGAGACACGGCCCAGACUCCUACGGGAGGCAGCAGUGGGGAAUCUUCCGCAAUGGACGAAAGUCUGACGGAGCAACGCCGCGUGAGUGAUGACGGCCGUCGGGUUGUAAAGCUCUGUUAAUCGGGACGAAAGGCCUUCUUGCGAAUAGUGAGAAGGAUUGACGGUACCGGAAUAGAAAGCCACGGCUAACUACGUG
rnacentral:rRNA from 1 species